AAGGAUCAUUAACAAGUACCGACCACACUGAUUUGGACAGCAGCACAACGAAACAUUAACCUUCAGAAACUUUUUUAAGAAAAAAACUUUCAACAACGGAUCUCUUGGUUCUCGCAUCGAUGAAGAACGCAGCGAAAUGCGAUACGUAGUAUGACUUGCAGACGUGAAUCAUCGAAUCUUUGAACGCACAUUGCGCCUUGAGGCAUUCCUCAAGGCAUGCCUGUUUGAGCGUCGGCUCCUCUCAAACCUCGCGGUUUGGUUUUGGCGCGCCCGAAAACACAGGGGUUUUUGCAUACGAUACAGAAACACCCGACUUUCGCCCUCAAAUCAGGUAGGACUACCCGCUGAACUUAAGCAUAUCAAUAA
rnacentral:misc_RNA from 1 species